GAUGAACGCUAGCGGCAGGCUUAAUACAUGCAAGUCGAGGGGCAGCAGGGGUGUAGCAAUACACUUGCUGGCGACCGGCAAACGGGUGCGGAACACGUACGCAAUCUACCCAAAACUGGUGAAUAGCCCUCCGAAAGGAGGAUUAAUACAUCGUAACUUAGUGAAGUGGCAUCACUUUAUUAAUAUAGCUCCGGCGGUUUUGGAUGAGCGUGCGCCUGAUUAGGUAGNGGUCGGGGUAACGGGCCCACCAAGCCUGCGAUCAGUAACUGGUGUGAGAGCACGACCAGUCACACGGG
rnacentral:rRNA from 1 species